UAGCUGAGUAGUUGGGAAGUCAAUUCUCCAUGAAGAUCAGAGUUAAAUCUGGAGUUGGAUCCUAGAAGUGGGACUUGAACUGAAUGUCUUAUGCUGUAUAACUUUAGUCUCCUGGUUCUUUUAAAAAGAACUUCUUUUUACUUUAAGGGAAAAAAAGGAAAUUUCAAAAGCUUCCAUAUUUGAGUGAAAUAUGCAUUCUAUUUUUUUUAAAUCCAUGCUGGAAAUCAAUGACUGUAGACCUAAGGCAGCUGCAACUGAGACCAGUCAGAACAGAUACAACUAGAUGAUCUGAGACCAAGUUACAGACAGGAUUAUAGAAAUGUUGAUCUAUAACCCUGAGGGAAAGAAGUGUUGGGGUUUUGUAUUUUGACUUCUUUACUGUGUGCUAGGAUUCACAAUAUUACACCAAGUCACCCUGAAUGAUUAAAGUCUGCCAUCCCUUUAAAGUAAUCAAUCUAGAAAAGCUGAAUGCAGGUUGACAGAUUAGCAUUAUUGAUUUCCUUCUGUGUGGCUGAGGAAACUGAAUUACCAUUAUGGCUCUUGCCCUAUUUAAACUCAGAUAUGUGGAGCUACACUAACAGGCUGCUAUGUAGACUUUUAUCUGUUGGUGACAACGUCUCUUUUUUGAUAUACAAAGGUAUCACAGACCUCAGAACAGACAUGGGGAAAAAAACCCCUUCAGGAUGAAAAUAAAAAGCUAAAAAAAAUAUUUAAAAGCUGCUCACACUUUGGACCUGAGCUCUGCAAGAUGGCAUUAGAACCCUGAUCAAAGGUACUGAUUACACUACUAGAAUUUAACAAAAUUUUUCAAGGGGGAUGAAUAUUUUUGGACAGCUAUAAAAGAAAGUAAUGACCAUGUGCCAUAUUUUUUGCACUUCUUAUUUUAUUUUUAUUGAUAUGUUUAUUUUUAGAUGAGACUUGAUCACAAUAUUCUCAUAAUUUGAAAAUCAUUUAAAAACUCCCAGAAGAAUAAUGAGCUGAAAAAUCAUUAACUUAUAGUGUGGAUUUAUUUCAGUCUUGGCUCUAAGCACCCCUAGACACGCAGGUGUAAGAAGAGGAGGAAAAAAUCUUGGAGGUGCUUGAAAAAAGGGAGGUGGGGAAAAGGGAACACAACCCCAAAUAAAUAAAAAAAUUAUAAAUAACUGUUUAUUUACCUGGGUGAUCAAGAAACAAAUUACAGUUUAUAUUAUACAUACAACACCCACUUUGUAUGGUAAUUAAGAGACCUGAUUCAAUACUCAGUGAGUUUAGAAAGAAAUUCUCAUAGCCAUGUAAAGGGAAUUGCAUCUAGACUCUUAGUACCUCUUUUGCACUUAUACUCUCAACAGAGUGUGUUGUGAGUGUUCACUCUGGAAUUUGUGGAAAGAAAACUUCUGAGAUGGAAUUUGUACAGUUCAAAGAAAUUGAAGCCCUUAUAACAUCAUGCAGUUGGAAAGUUAGGCCAGGACCUUUCUCGUGUGUUUAAAUGUUUAGAAACUUCUAAGUCAAUCACAUUUUUAUGAAGUUAUAUCCCAGUUUGUCUUGAAAGGGUCUAGCAACUAUUCUAGCAAUUAUAUGAAACUAUCUUUGUACAGUGCUGCAUUUUUUAGGCAAGAAAUGGAAGUAUGACACAGCUACUGUAUUAAAGCAAUCCUUUGAAUAUUUGUCCUCUUUUCAAGUAGCACUGAUUAUUUGAGAGGGAGAAAUAAGUAGUAUAGAGGUGUGGAUGAGAGAAGAAUCCUUAGAAGUCAAGACACUAAUUGAAAGGUUUCUCUGCCGAAGUAGCAGCUGAAUUAAGAAAAUCUAUGGAGAUUGCCUGGAUGCUGCUGGCCACCAGCUGAGCUGCUGCAGUUGGCAUCACUGCCACCCUGGGGAAAAAUAAAUGGCUUGAGAAUGAAAAGCAGAAAGGAAGAUACCACUGUGAAGAAUUCUAGACUGAGGGGAAAAGGCAGUUUAGCAAGCUCUCACAGGUUUUGAGGAAAAAAUGCAAUUAGACCUCAUCAUUUUGCUGCACCCUGUACCAAGUGGGAUUGCUGUUGUGGGACUAGAGUGAACACACCCAGUCUGAAAUGGAGAAAAGAUUUGCAGAAGACUUUGAAAACUCCUGCUGGUUGUGUUGCUGUCAAGGAGACAGGUAUUUAACAACAGAAACCAAGAAGUUUCAGUGCAGGUGCAGUUGUUGACUGCUGGAGUGCCCCUUGCUAUCCUGCUAGAUCCUGUACAGCAAACAUCUGGAAGGAUUUUAAAGUAUCAGUUCAGCAGCUUGUACACAUGAGCAAGAUGAUAUAUCGUGUGCACUCUGAAUAAUUCUAGGCAAAUAAAUAUUCAGAUAUCUUUGCAGAAAGGUGCUUCUGAGAGGAAGAGCACCUGGUGUCUGAAGUGACCACAGCUUUGUUGCCUUACUCUGGAUGCAUUUGAGCACCUUCACAUCCUCCUGAAAUGGUGGAGCCCAAAGCUGCACACAGAACUCCAGGAGGAUGUAAGCAAUAAUACAAACGGGGAGCCUUCCUGCCAUCACUGGGAAGUCAAGAAGUAUCAGAAGAGGCUGCAACUGAUACCAUGCACAAGUUUUCAGCCCCUGCUGAUGCUCUAUGAAAAAAGUGCACACCUGGACUCUGUAACACCUUGAAGGCCUCUGGGAGUGAUUGUGCCAUUUCAUCCAUGCUGCAAAUCUCUGGAGGUGAAAUCAAACUACAUCACAUCAAUGUACGGCCCUUAAUGCCUCAAGUUUAAAAGCAGCAAAUCAAGUGAAGACAGCAACAAAGAAAAGGCAGCAUACAUAACAGUUAAUUUGACUGUCACACCUAUACACGACUUGCAGGUCAUUGCAAUUUAAAUAUUGUGGGUCGUGCAUGGCUGAACAGCUGAAAAGCAUUCCAGAUGUGACUAAGAAGUGCUACUGAGUUCCAAAUGAUGUUUCAAGCUCAGCUCUCUCAGCGUAUGUUAGAAACAAAAGGAAGUAAAGCUCUGUAACUGAGACACAGCGGCCAUUCUCUACAUGCACCUAUUUCAGUGGGGUCUCAUGACCCCCUGAGUUCUGCAGCCUGGAGUUCCACAAUGAUAACAGAUCUUCGCGCUUUCUGCUGGUGAGAAUUCCAACUCCUUUGGGGAACAAGGAAAAUAAGUGGCCUUCUACCACUGGAAGAAGUGAUUCUAAACUGACUAAGGCCUGGCUGAGCUCUGGAAAAUGUAGCAAAAGAAGCUGUAUCCAUAUGCAUUCAUAACACAGUGUCCAGAAGACAACAUAAGGAAGAAAAUUUAACUGCACAAGGGACAGUGUCCCUUAUAUCCAAUUAUGUCCUUAUAUCCCAUAUCUCCAAUUUUAGUCCCUGGAAGUUACACAACCAGCAGAUGAAGGCUGUGCUACAGCAACACAAUUUAGCUGGAGAAUAAAUGCAUCGAGUUAUGCAGAUUGACACCACCUUGACCUUUUGCAUUUCCACAUAUUAGGCACUGGAUGAAGCAGUAAUACCACUGAAGUCAAACGCAAAAUUUAUGCAACUUCCAUGAGGACAGGUUUUAAACCAGGAGCUUUUGAAAUGGGAGAGCAUGAGUAAAGACAGUCUAUGUCCUUCACUGAGAGAAAUCUGUCUGUCCUGACUCCAAAGUGUGACCACUCUGCCAGGAAUGGAAACUACGUAAGUCUGGAAGAUUUUCAGAUUGAUAUUAAAAUUCAAGACAUCAACAUUUUUUUUCUCUAAGUGAACGCAAUAAUUAUGUACUUUGAAUGUGCUGAAAACAAAGUCAGUUAACAAAACCCAAAACUUAAUCCAGGACUACUAAUUUUCAAGAUCUCCCAGAGGUAUGUAGAAGUUUUUUUACCAUGAAAAGUAAUUCCCACUAGGCCAGAGUGGCUAUGAAUUUUCAUGGAAAGCUUUGUCAUUCUCAGCUAUGCAAAUGAAAUUCAGAUAACCCAUAGAGUCAGUCUACAGAACCCUAAAAUGCCUUAAGAACAGUUAGGAAUAAAAGAGACCUAACUGCCUGACGGUGAUGAUUACCAUGCCCUUCAGGUAAGUGUGCAUAAGGCAAUCUAAAAUUAUUCAGCUCUCAGGAGUGUGUGCUAAUCAGAGGUUCUGCUAAGCAGAACUAUUACCAGUCCUUUAAAAUAACCUCUAAAACAUUCCUACGAAACAUAGGAUAAGUCAUCAAGUUACUUUAUUUUAUGAAUCAUGAAACUGGAAAACAUGUAAUUGAAAAUGUGUUUAUUUGCCUCUAAUGCUUUUAGAGAAUGAUCCAUCCACAUUAUUCUGAAGCUGUCUCUUAAUUUUCUUUCCAUUUCCCCGUCUUUCAAAGCUCUACCCUGAUUCUCCUUUUGCUUUUCCCAUGUAAACGAAGAAUAGCUCUAAUGAUCUUAAGAGGAGCAUGUUAGUUUUAUGUUUUAACUCUUUUGUUGCAAACACCUGCUGAUUUGAAUUAUCCAUCAGUUCACAGAAUAUGAAUUGGAAGGGGCACAAGGAUCACCUAAGUCCAACUCCUGGCACUGCACAGGACUAUCCCCUAGAGUCACACCAUAUUGACACUGUUGUCCAAACAGUGAACUCUGUCAGGCUGGUGCUGUGACCAAUUCCCUGGGGAGCCUGUUCCAGUGUUCAGCCUCUCUCUGGGUGAAGAAUCUUUGUGUUAUAUCCAACGUAAACCUCCCUCGACACAAUUUCCUGUCAUUCCCUUGGGUCCUGCUGCUUGUCAUCAGAGAGGACAGAUUGGUACCUGCCUCUCAUCUUUUCCCAUGUGAAUAGACAGCUGUGAGGUCCCAUCUCAGUCUCCUUUUCUCCAGGGCAGCUGGCCUGUCUACAUUCUGUGUAAUC